UACGAAGGGGGCUAGCGUUGCUCGGAAUUACUGGGCGUAAAGCGCACGUAGGCGGCUUUCUAAGUCGGGGGGUGAAAUCCUGGAGCUCAACUCCAGAACUGCCUUCGAUACUGGACAUCUCGAGGCACUCAGGGGCGAGCGGAACAAGUGGUGGAGCGGUGAAAUGCGUAGAUAUCACUUGGAACGCCAAUGGUGAAGACAGCUCGCUGGGGGUGUCCUGACGCUGAAGCGGCGAAAGCCAGGGGAGCGAACGGG
rnacentral:rRNA from 1 species